CUCAGUUGGCGCUCGCUCUGCGCUCUGCCCGGCAGCACUCAGCUGUUGCUGCUGCUGCCUGGGCUUUUCCUGCUGCCUGCUCUGGAGCACCAAUCCCAGCAGGAUGAGCACUGCUGCUCCAGUGGAGACUGCCAGAGACAUUGUGGAGGAAAUGGAAGUGGACAUGGUGCAGGCUGAGGAAGAGAUGAUGGAAGUGGACGUGGAAGAGCAGGUUGAGGACAUGGAAGUAGAUGUGGAGGAUGACAUCGAGGAGAUGGAAGUGGAUGAGGAAGAUGAGGAGGAGCCCAUGGUCCUUGGAUGAAGUUGGAGCCCCACAAGACUGAUGCCGAUGAUGGCCACCGAUGUGACGCCUCUGUAAAUAUGUUUGAAACAGUAGAAGAAUUCUGUAAAUAUGUUUGAAACGGUAGAAGAAUUCUGUAAAUAUGUUCUGCGGUUAGAAGUUCUCUGUAAUUAUGUUUCGAAGAUUGUUAGUCCAUAGGAUCUCAUGUAAAUAUGUUCUGUAGAUUGUUAUUGUUGUUGUUAUAAGGAUUGUUGUAAUGAAAGAUGUUCUGUAAAUACUCGUGUUUGCCGAUCUUUGGCAAAUAAAUACUGCUUCUUUUUAAAA